rnacentral:rRNA from 1 species
UACGUAGGUGGCAAGCGUUGUCCGGAUUUACUGGGCGUAAAGAGCGCGCAGGCGGUCGUUCAAGUCGCGUGUGAAAGCCUCCGGCUCAACUGGGGAGGGUCACGCGAUACUGAUCGACUCGAAGGCAGGAGAGGGUAGUGGAAUUCCCGGUGUAGUGGUGAAAUGCGUAGAUAUCGGGAGGAACACCAGUGGCGAAGGCGACUACCUGGCCUGUUCUUGACGCCGAGGCGCGAAAGCUAGGGGAGCAAACGGG